AAAAGAGAAGAUGAUAAUUGCUCACCUACAACCCACCUAAGAAACCGAUGGAAAUACAUUUAUAAUAAAAUCAGAGCAAUAUCAUUUCCAGUACCUGUAUGACACUCAUUCUGUGUCCCAACAGGAAACAGAUUACACAAAUGAGAACACUUUGAAGAGGGUCUGGAAAAAGGUGUGGGGAAACUGAAAGUACCCAGGAAGUAAGAACAACAGGGCUACUACCACCCCCAGACCUGAAGAGCAGAAGAGGAGCAGUCACCAGAAGGUGGAAGGAGAAUCGUAUGCAGAGGGCCACGUUGACAGGAGCUGUGAUCUGGGUCAAGGGAGAGAGCCAACCUAAGGUUUACCAAUUCCUAACUGUACAAUCAGGAUCAAGUUAACUAAAACUCCCUGAACUUCAGUUUCCUGGUCUUUGAAAUAAGAGUUACUUACAUCAGGACUCCUCAAACUUUCCUACUGGCAAAGGAGAAUGGAUACUCUCCCUGGAGGCUCUGGUGGCAUAGCCUGGAGCAAUUCUAUAAAUCUGUUGUUUUAUCUUCAAAAAGAUUGAGAAUUUUGUAUUCUAAUCCCCAUUUUACCCAUACUUAUGAGUACAUGUUUCCUUCAAGUCUAGAUAGGUCAAUAUUUCCCAUUAAGGAUGCAGUUUGGCACAUCCCUUAGUACACACUAUUCCAGAGCACACAUAGUCCAAUUUGGAGAGGCAGUGAUAAGAAAAGAAGAAAUGAAUUCUACUAGCAAUGUUCAUUGACCUACCCAGAGGACUGAAUAAAAGAGACACCAACAUCUUUGAGGAGCAAAGAACCCUGGGCUUCUAUGAACAUUUCAUCACAGCUUCUGGGCCACCAUAAGUAUGACCCUGAUGUGUUAAAGCAAACUGGUACAGGGAAAGGAAGACCAUGAGAGUAGAUCUAAGCACAGCAAUGAUGGGGUGAAAUAGGGACAGAUUACAUUAACAGUCUGUAUUUUAGAUGGAAUGCUUUCUCCCAAUCUCCAUUCUCAAUACCACUCAUUCUCACCCAAGACUUAGAAAACUCUAGUCUGCAUCAGAAUCACUUGAAGAUCUUGUCAAAUACAGAUUCAUAGGCCCCAUUCCCAGGGUUUCUGGUACAGCAGGCAUGGAAUAAGACCAGAGACUCUGCAUUGGACAGCAUGUUCCCAGUGAUGCUGAUGCCACUGUCCUGUGGUCUACACUUGAAGAAGUGCUGAUUUAAGCCAUUCUUUGUUAACUGCCUCGGGAAAGGAAUACACAAGGGAAAUUUGAGAAGUAACUCUAAGAGCUGAAUUUGAAACCUUAGGGUUUGGAGGAAAUAAAGGGGCCACUUAACAUAGACAAAGAUUUGGAAAAAUACUUGAAGGGACUCGAAGCAAGUCUUCCUUCUCUGGGGGGAAUUGAUUAGAGCUUAAAAGUUGAUGAGGCCCCUGGGAAAAAUGAGCCUGGAUUCUAACACCCCUACCAUGGAGUCUGGGUGUGGAUAUGGGGGGAAAACAGUUGAUGGGAUGUGACAGCAUAGGGAACCGAUGCCUCAGCCCCAAAUAAAGACCUGAGAAGGUAGGAAGACCUGAGAAGAUAGGGGUACAUGGUGUUCCUGAGCCAGGAGUUGGCAAACUCUUUUUUAAAGGUUCAAAUAGUAAAUAUUUUAGCCUUUGCAUGCCAUAUGGACUCCACCACGACUACUCAGCUCUGCCAUCAGCACAAAAGUAGCCACAGACAAUGCAUAAAAAUGAAUGUGGCUAUGUUCCAAUAAAACUUUAUUUACACAAAUAGGCAACAAUACAGAUUUGGCCUAUGGGCUGAAAUUUGGCACCUCUGGUCUAAGAUGACAGAGCUUCAGAUAGCCCGCAAGGGCUUCCUACAUCCUAGCCUGUUCCAGGAGACCCAGAAUCACACAUGUGCUGGAGAGCAGCAUGGCAGUUGGAGAGGAUCUUGAGCAGCUUCUCUGAGAUUCCAGAAUCCAGCAUGGGGAGAAGAGUGACUGAGGUAACCCCUGGCCACAAAGGAGCCUUGCCAAGGUGGAAAGAUGCUAGGUCUUUAUUUCCCACAGUGUUGCAGGACCAGGUAAGCUCCCAGGACAGUUACAACCCUCAGCAAAGGAGAGAAGGGGAAAGUGACUUCAAAUUUAUUAUGUUUUCUUACCCUGCCAGAAUGGAGACUCAAAAUAGAAAUCGAUUUACUUUUAAAAGCCAGAUUUAUGUCCUAUUCUUAUGUUUGCAGGAAUGAGCUAUUUUACUUUUUUGUUAAUUGGAAAUGUUUUCUUUGAAAUCUGCUGCACAUUUUACACUUAGAGUACGUCACUAGCCACAUUUCAAGUGCUCAAUAACCACAUGUGGCUAGAAGAUACUAUAUUGGACCGUGCAGCUUUAGACACCAAGAUCUUCCCUCCUUCCCCUCCUCAGAGCCAUCAGACAAGCCCACCAGGCCUGCCUUGACUGGCCUUCAAAUGAGUUAGAAAGAUGGUUGUUAUACAGAGAGCAUACAGACUCCCAGC